AACGGUAUAAACAGUCUUAAAUAUUGCUAUGAAAACAAUGUAGCCCUUUAAAACUAAAAGUCUUAGUGGAACGGGUCUUCAGUGCACAAAAAAUUUAUCACAAAGUCAGCCAUGAAAAUCCUCUAGGAGGUGAUUUACUUUUAGGUCAGACAAGGUCUGGAUAAGAGACCACAGGAUUCCUAGUUUAAAUUGGAAGCAUCAAUACACUGGUUGAUCUCAUCUUUUGAAUGGACUUUAGAAGUUGGAUUGCAUAAUCUAAAGAGCCUCCUCUGGCAGUUCAGUUAGAUGCCCUUGAUGCUGAGAUAAGACAUCCUAUAUAGAGUAGUAAUGUCCCAUUUGAAUAUUUCUCAGUUUACAUUUUGGGGAAAUCAAAUGUGGUCUAUAAUCUGCAGAACCCAUCACUUAACCACUUUUGCUUAGCAAUUACGAUUUCAUUCUUAAUGUCCCUACUAUCCAUUCAUAUUCAGAUGCUUACAAGGAGACAGGCAUCACGCACAACAAAGGAGUCACGUUUUGUUGUGUAGGUUAUUCAGGCAGCAAGUUUAGCAGACCAAUCCUUGGGUCACCGCAUACUUCUCUGCCUUUUAGAAAAUCUCUUUCCCCUGGCAGUUCAAAUCGAAUCUUUUGAACUGUAAAUGUGGCUAUUUACAUUGCCAGGAAAAAAUAAGUCCAGAAACAUGUCCUCAGAAUUAAGGGCCAAAGUUUAUUUUAAUGUACGGUGAGAGUUCACUAAAAGUAAACCUUUAUUGUACGAUUUUAAAAUAUUAACCACACUCGUAACUUCAGUUCUGCAGAGAACUGAAACGUAGGAGUAGGGAUGGUCUGGGGCCGAAGACAUCAGCAUUUUGUGACACACAGCCUUGGCUUUGGGCCUUCCAUGUUCUCCAAAGCCUGAGAGACUACGCAGGAGCUGCAAGACAGAAAAAGGCUGUUGCAUGCCUUAACCCAGGCUAAAAGGCCUCUUACCUCCGUUUUGUUAUUUCUGCCUCCAAACAGCAUUCCAAUUAGCUCUUUUUGGUGAUAAAAGGUAAAGAUUUAUUGUACCCCACCUACAACUGGAAUCAGAAUUUCACAGGAGGGUCACAGUCAUUAGAGAAGUUUUCUGGAAUACUAUUCUCUAAAUAAGCACCAUGUGGGUUGUUGCUAUUAUUUAACACCUAUUAAGUAGGCACAUCAUUCUAGGCUUUGAACAGCUGAAGAGUCCGGGCCCCAGCUUUCUUGGAGCUUACAGACAAUUCCGCAGACAGGCAGGGGAAGGUCGGUGUGCUCGAUUAAGGGCACAUACUGAGCAAAGUUUAACUACUUGCUGGUUUCCUUCCGCGAGUUUGGAAAAUACAUGGUCUAGGGCUAAAUUCUUAACCUGGAGGAUUGAGUCUCGUUCUAGAACUUCUCACUGGAACCUCGGUAGGGCUGUGACACAGGAACGCAGUCCAAAGUCCAAAGUGCUGUCACACAAGAAAUUCAUUAUGCCCAGCAUGCAACCGUCAUGCAUGAUAGGGGCCGCUGGACCUCGGUUAUCUUCCUACAAAUCAAGAAGCCAUUUGGAAACAUCGGGGCCAGGUCAAAAUCGUCAAACUGUAGCCUUGUCUUUCUCCACUUUUUUUUUUUUUAAUUGUUGCUCACAGUGGCGUUUUUGAAAAGGAAGAAAACAGCCGCCAGCACUGCCAAGCCCUGUUUACUGGAGGGGAAGGAAAGGGGAGGCGGCUCCCUGACUCUCCAGCAGCCUGCGUAAGGGCCUGCGCCCACGAGGGGACCUUGCUGCGGUUUCCAGCGCGGCACCCUGACUCACGCCGCGCCCGUGUUUAUUUAUUCUAGAACUUCUGCCGGGGCCGCACGGCCGCCGGCGCAGCGCCUUCGCCCCGCGCCCCGCUCUGCGCACGUGGAGCGGGGCGGCGGGACCCCACGCGGGCGGCGGCGCCCGGACCCGCCCCGCCGGCGCGCCAGCUGCGCGGCUAUAAUUAGAGAGGAGCCGCGGCCGCGCGCCUCCGCCCGCGUGCCCGCGAGGGCCGUGCGCGCGCGCGCGCGCGGGACCGCCCGCGUGCGUUCCCCGGCCUCGCGCUCUGGACCGGUUACCGCGUCGUGCACCAAAUAAAGUAAAGGUCUGGCUCCUGCCGGCGAGGCGGGCGGGCGAGCGGCGUGCCAGCCGGCUCCGGGGUGUGGCGAGCCCUCGGUUGCCCAGAAAAGAUGCAACGCGCGUCAGCAAGAGCCUUGGCUGCUGCCGCAAGGGUCCCUGACGCGCUGCCGGCUGUCCCGGGUGGAUUUUCUAAGUUGGGGAGGGCGCAUGACAAGAGCUGCCCCAGAUGUCACUCCCUUUUUGGAAGUCAUGAGGCUGCCUUUUUUUUUUUUUUUUUUUUUAAACGACUGUGGCUAUAAUAAGGCAAACGGUCCACGCUGGUGGAGUAAACUCUCAUACUUAAGGGGCAUCCGUCUUCGGGGAAAGCACACCGAGGCACGGGUGCGUGUCCAUAAAAAUGUUAUUUAUUAAGCGAACCUCAGGACAUGCCCAUAUGGGUACUACAGAGUCAAAUAAAGUAUUGCAGCCACAGACUGCCUAAAAGGGAGUUGCCUUUUUACAGAGAGACCUUUAUUAAAAUUACGGCAACGGCCAAAAAGUUUUUUCUUGCGUCAUAGCACCGUUGGGCGCUGGAGGUGCCCCGCAAUCCAUGGACUUCUAAUUUCCGUUCAUUGUUAGAUUCAAUACUCUGCAGUAACGUCUCAAAAAAAAUCCAAGAAGCAUGACCCCAUCCUUGCACAAGAUGACGCCGAAAUGGCAUGUAGUACCAGCCUUGGAGUGCGGGCCGAGGAACUUCACUGUGGACUGAGGGUUGUGUAAUAGUUUCAGGCACGAAAUCAUUUUAGAAGCGUGGGAUGAAUUCCUACAGAACCGUCCCCUCCUUCUGUAUUUUAUCGAAGAACUCGCAAGGCUUCUCAGGUUGCAGCUCGAUUCCUACGAAGCUAUUUUUGCUCUUUGCCCGAGCCCAUUGGUCUUGACACAGCAUCGCUAGAGUCACCCGCUCCGCUCCUGGACAAAAGACCUUUGAGAGCGAAUUCUGCAGAGAGAGUCUCUCUGAAAACACACCUCAGAAUUGUCCAAUUCUGUCCCAGACACACGACAACACUGGAACAGAGGUCAGGACGUCUCCAGGUGUUCCUGGGCUUUGGGUGAUCAUUUCAGCUUUCCAAAGUAUCCUUCCUGAUCCAAUACCACAAUUCUCUGGGGCCAAAAUGCAAAAUGAAGUCACCGUGAAGCUGCCGUUGACUCACUACGGGCCCCUGGUUUCCAGAAACGGCUUCUUCAAAGGGGUCUGCAGCGGCGGUGGGGAGGCCUGCUCAGAGUCUCUGGGAUUGUUGGAAGGUGGAAGGAGGAGAGGAAGGUGGGGAGGACGCCUGGAGCCCUGCCACCCGAGUGAGGCCGGUGACAGGAAGAAUCUAUCAAUCUUGUGUGCAGAGCCAAAUAUGGUGCUGGGGCUCAAUAGACAGAGACAGAGCACACGUGGGGAAGGAACAAAGAGAGAGGGAGUCG